UGCCUGCUCUGUAGUGGAUUAAAGCAGUCAGUAGCCAUGUUUCUUGCAUUCAUAAUGUCUCUUGUGGUGGAGGCCUUCAUGUGGUUCUGGUCUCUAGGCUUUUCUGAGGUUUUAGUACUUUUUUGGGUACUAGGAUUAUUGUCCCUUACAUGUAGUUUUUGCAGUAGAGGAUCACAGAUUAAAAUAGCUAUUUUGAUAGCCUUAGUGAUUGUGAUUUGUAAGGUGCUUACAAAGAUACUGGAGUCUGUUCAAGAUAUGUAUAGUUUAUGGUUUUUUCGUCCUACCCUGCAUCCUAGUUCCAGUAGUAUGUUUUGGGGGUUUAUUAGUAAUUGCAUCCAGUUUGUUAGAGGAGGAGCAGAGGAUGAGAUUUUCCAGCCUCUCGUUUCCUUCUUCUCUUUUGAAUCUGUUAUGUCACUUUUUGAGAAUGUUCAGUUUUCCCUGAAUGUUAAAGAGACCAUCUUUCUGGUAUUUUAUCUGGUAAUCUUCCUUUAUAUAGUCUGUAGCUUCUCUAGAGUGAGGGCUGAGAUGUCCAGAGGAGCUGAUGAGAUCCCAGACUCAGGUGUGGAAAAUCCUAAGUGCUGUGGAGAAUGGGAGAAAAUGGGCCAGACCCUGAAGGAAUUUUCUAACCCUGUAGAGUGGGAUUUUCCACGUGAACAAAUUCAGAACCCAGAUGAGGUAGCGAAACACCUGAAAGAGAAGUGCCAUGAUGAUCCAGGAGAAGGACCCUCAAAGCUACUUAUUGACACAAAAGCCGGAGUUAGGGCAACUGAUGCAGGGUCAGAAGCCACUACUGAGUCCUAUUCCCUGACAGACCUUCGUGGCCUAAGAAAGGAUUACACUCGAAGACCUGAUGAGUCUAUAAUUAGUUGGUUGGUUCGUCUUUGGGAUGCUGCAGGGGAGGCUACAAUUCUGGAUGGUAGUGAAGCGAGACAUUUGGGAUCCCUAUCACAUGAUCCGGUUAUUGACCAAGGAAUGAUGAGGGGGGCUAACCCUCGCAGCCUCUGGGCACGGGUCCUGGGAAGUGUAGCACAAAGAUACCUGUGUGCAGACGAUCUCUAUAUGCAGCAAACCCAGUGGAAGACUAUAGAACAAGGAAUUCAGUGCUUGAGGGAAAUGGCAGUGGCAGAGAUUGUCUUCUCAGAUUAUGUAGAUACUGUAAAUCCAGACUCGGUACCAUGUACAUCCGUGAUGUGGCGAAAACUUGUACAACUUGGGCCACAAGAAUAUGCUCCUGCUUUAGCAAUAAUGAAGCGAGAUGACAGUGAGGAGACUGUGCUCAAUAUGGCAAAGAAGCUCCGAGCAUAUGCAGAUGCUGUACAUGGCCCAACCCAUGCCAGAAUUGCAGCAGUGGAAACACGUCUGCAGAAAUUAGGAGAGAAACUAGAAAACAAGAUAGAGGAGACUCAUAAGAAACUCAGGGAGGAGAUGAAAGAGGGUUUUCUCCAAGUCUCAGCAAUACAGAUCAGAGGUUCUGGUACCCAAUGCAGACAUUCCCCAGAUGGGGAAAAAAGGUACAUCUCACGAGCUGAGCUGUGGUUCUUCCUGCGCGAUUGUGGAGAAAAUAUGAGGAGAUGGGAUGGAAAACCUACUGCUGCUCUGGCACAACGGGUGCAUGAAUUGAAGGAAGGCAAGACUCCAAGAGGAAGUUUCAUCAAAAGGAGAACAGCUCCAGUGACCCAUAACCAAACUGCCAUAUAUGAUGAUGAUGACAAUAUUUUCAAUCCCCUUGAAGGAACAUCCAAGACAUAUGCCCCAGGAAAGAAGGAUAACCAGGCUUAGAGGGGCCCUGCCUCUAGCCAGGUAGAGGCUAGGGAAAACCGUGUUUUUUGGACUGUGUGGAUUUUUUGGCCUGGCACAUCAGAACCACAAGAAUAUAAAGCUUUGGUCGACACUGGUGCACAGUGCACAUUAAUCCCAUCAAAAUAUGUGGGGGCAGAACGUGUUUCUAUUGCUGAUGUGACAGGGGGAUCACAGGACUUUACUUUAGUGGAAGCUGAGAUCAGCCUGACUGGAAAUGAGUGGAAAGACAUUGCUACCAGGGUAGAGAAACUACCUGUGAAAGUUCGCCACGUAGAUGCCCAUGUCCCCAAGAGCAGAGCCAAUGAGGAGCACCAAAACAACCAGCAGGUAGAUCAGGCUGCAAGCAUAGGAGUGUCAAAGAUAGACUUAGAUUGGCACCAUAAGGGGGAGUUGUUCCUGGCUCGAUGGGCUCAUGAUGCCUCAGGCCAUCAGGGCAGAGAUGCCACCUACAAGUGGGCACGAGACCGAGGGGUGGAUCUAACCAUGGACAGUAUUUCUCAGGUGAUCCAUGACAGUGAGACGUGUGCUGCCAUCAAGCAGGCCAAGCAGGUGAAGCCCCUGUGGUAUAGUACAGUUAUGGGGAGGCUUGGCAGAUUGAUUACAUCACACUGCCCCAGACACACCACGGCAAGUGUUAUGUGCUCACCAUGGUAGAAGCCACCACUGGAUGGUUGGAAACCCACCCCAUGCCUCAUGCUACGGCCCAUAACACCAUUCUGGGAUUGAGAAGCAGAUCCUUUGGAGGCAUGGUACCCCUGAGAGGAUUGAGUCAGACAAUGGGACUCAUUUCAAGAAUAGUCUUAUCAACACCUGGUGCAUGGU
rnacentral:lncRNA from 1 species